UGUGGGCGUCGAGACUCUCGUGCGAAUGAGGUUUUUUUUUUGAGGUCAACAAUUUUUGGGCCGGGCUGAAGACCUGCUCCAAGCAAUUUCGGCCCACGAGGAGGGCUGUAGCCCCCCAGCCCCCCCCUCCCUCCGCCACUUAUGUAAACUGUUCCUAAGGCGAGGUUUUUGGAGUUGUAGCUGUUUUUUUAGAUCUUUUCUGUAUAUAGUUGUACAGUGUCUAUCUAGGCUCUUUCUCUUUAAUAUAAUAGGCAGCUCUCCUGCCGGUUUCGUUCAAAAAAAAAAAAAAGACCCCUUUGCUAGCUGUAGCUUGUGCGGCGGUGCCGAACAUCCCCGGCGGUGAUCGAGCUGCAUGCCUGCCGUGCUCAUCACAUCAGUCGUGUCGUGUACUCGUGUGAGUGGGAAGGCACUUGGGCAGUUCGGCAUGCAAAAGACAGAGCCGGCAACUGGGCAGUAUGCCCGUGAUCGAGUGACCCAUCGAAGGCGCGCCGAGAACUAGCAAGCUGACUUGCCGACGUCGAUCGUGCAGUUGGGCACCACUGUUAAGGUCUCUCGUCUCGAUCUGUAGUGCGAGAUAUGAGAGCAGGAACACAAUGUAACGCAAUGAAGAACUAGCAGCUGGCUGCCAUUUUUCUCCGGAAUAUAAGACAUCCAUAUACAUACAUGCACGCCAC
rnacentral:lncRNA from 1 species